GUGUGAACUAAUAUAAAUUCAAAGUAAACAUCAUUACAUAAAAGGGUACGGUCUUUUUUUUCAAUAGUUUUAUUCGUUUCAAAUGGGCGGAUCCGGCCCCGCGGGCCGUAGUUUGCCCACGGCUGCCCCAGAGGAACGUCUG